AUGCUUGUUUUACGGCAUCGGACCAAAAUGGUCAUGAGGACACGGAAGGAGGGCACGCCCAGGCUUCUUUCUUCGUUCAAGCCUGCCCGGGCAAGGGCUCCUGCUAAAAUGUUUUGGCGACCAAGCACACCUCGCAAUACCAGUGGGGUGGGGCAGCCCGCCCCUGGUGACAGGUGGCGUCUCUCAUCCUCCUCCUGUGGAAGGCGCAGGAGCCAGGCUGGAACAGACCCGGAGGCUGGACCUGGUCGGAUCUGCGUCCCCGCAGGAACCCACUGUCGCUGCCCCUGCACGAUGCCCGCCCGCCCGCCCACGGUGGCAGCAACAGGCGAUGGGCCCGUGCAGGUGGGAAACCGAUUUUCCUCUCAGCUGCUCGCCCUCCGCAGGCAGCUGGCCCCAAAGAGGGGCGUCGGGCGUCCUCCUCACACAGCCUUACAGGGGAGGUCGGCACCAGCGUCUGCCCACGCCCCUGGCAGAUGCACCCGCGGCUUCUACCCCGGAUGCCCGAGCGUCAGGUCAGCGUCAGCCGCGCGCGCCGGAAGCGUUUACUCGUCCCGAUCCCGGGCGCGGAAGCCCGACUACAAAGCUGCGGCAUCGCAGGCGCCGCCUCAGGCCCCCACCCGACUGCCCCCGGGUUUGCGGACAGAGCUGGCGCCUCUGAAGGCGGAGGCGAGGGUCCCGCUCCUGGACGGCUCUUGUCCCUCAGCGGGAGCCGCCGGCGGUCACGCGGGGGUCACGUGGGAGGUCACGCGGGGGUCACGCGGGGGUCACGUGGGUGGCCUGUCAGGUGCUCGGCGACACCUUGGCGCGCAGCCCGGGCCCUCACGGGGGCGUCCGGUCCGAGCAUGCGCAGCAGGAGGCGCGGGUGUCCACAGCGCGGCGGGGCGGGAGGCCUCCCUGUCACCCCGAGCCCGCGGGUCUCUCACCCCCGGCCCCCGCCACCCUCCCUCGGCGCUCGGGACAGGCUCGGGACGCUGGGGCCGGGUCCGAGCACCGAGCAGCCCGCGCCUGUCCUUAGGAGACCCAGGGAGACGCGGGGUAUCCGAAUGCGGUCGGCGGGGAACGGGAGGCGCCCACACCCCCGCGCUCGGAGAACUCCCCAGUCCCGCCCGACAGUGCGGGCUGCAGGCCCUGCCGCUUGUGGCGGCGAUGGUUGGAGGCGCCGCUCUGAGGAGAGGCUAG
rnacentral:lncRNA from 1 species